rnacentral:lncRNA from 1 species
GACAGUUGGAAACUACUGCUCUGAAUUAUGGACUGCUGCCUUGUUCUCUUUAUGCAUGACUCUGAAUCAGACGCUGGCACUGAGCUCACUACAGAAAUCACCUAUGUUAUUCCAGAUGAGACUAACUUCAAAGCUGAGCUAUAGAAUAAUGAGAAGUAACAAUUGUCUGCUAUGAGCCAGUAGUUUUGGAGUGGCUCAGUAAGCAGGAAGAAAGAACGACCCCUUGCGUUAAUCCACCUAGGAUAUGGAGUUCAUUCAUGUUUCAGUGACUUGCCAUGAAGUCCUCCUGCAGAAACCACACUCAGUUUGCCCCUGAAAGUGAGUCAGGCCUGGGAACAGAUGGGCACCACCUGACUCAGAAGAGUCUAAUGUACGAUUCACUGUGCUUCACAGGAAAUCAAGCAACAAUGCAGAAGGCGAUGCAGCACCUCAGCAACCAGUCACACACAGUAGGGUACAGUCCAGUGGUGAAGGGACAGGGGAGGAGGGAAAGAAUUUUAUUUAAAAAAAAGAAAAGAACAGAGAAUGAAAUAAAUCAACCUACAUGGAAAGCAAAACUGCCAGCUCUUGAGGGUUAAUGUUUAAAAACACAAUUAACUUCCUCCAGUCCAAACCUUUGCCCAAUGCAAUAACAACUUUUUCUCCCCAAAAACUAGGUAUCUGAUUGUCAUCAGCACUGAAAGACUGCUCUGGUAACCUUCAAGAACUAUCUUAAAUCCAAACCUCCUCUGUGACACACUAGCAGAGCAUGGUGGUGACAAAUAUAUUGAAUUUCUGAUUUUAUUCUUUUUGGUGCCGGGCAUCGAAUUCAGGACCUUGCGCUUGCGAGGCAGGCGGCAGAACCACUGAGCUUAAAUCCCCAGCCCUGAAUCUUUUUUUUUGUUUUUGUUUUUGUUUUUGAGACAGGGUCUCACUGUGUAGUUGAGAUUGACCUGGAACUCACUAUGUAGCCCACGCUGGUCUCCAACUCACAGUGAUCCUCCCGCCUCAGCCUCCCGAGUGCAGGGAUUACAGGCGUGCGCCACCACGCCUGGCUCCUGAAUUUCUGAUUUUAACAAAGCAUAAAACAAGUCCUGGAAUAGAAUAAAUUGUAUUGCACGGAAUAAGACAUUUUCAUGAGUAUUUUGAAGGAGGCACAAGUGUAGUGUGAGUAUGUGUAUAGACUUCUUAUACUUAACCUAAAUCAAGAGUUGGUAAAGUAUAGCCCAGGGC